rnacentral:rRNA from 1 species
UGGUGCAUGGUUGUCGGUCAGCUCGUGUCGUGAGAUGUUGGGUUAAGUCCCGCAACGAGCGCAACCCCUAUUGUUAGUUGCCAUCAUUCAGUUGGGCACUCUAGCGAGACUGCCGGUAAUAAACCGGAGGAAGGUGGGGAUGACGUCAAAUCAUCAUGCCCCUUAUGACCUGGGCUACACACGUGCUACAAUGGUUGGUACAACGAGUUGCGAGUCGGUGACGGCGAGCUAAUCUCUUAAAGCCAAUCUCAGUUCGGAUUGUAGGCUGCAACUCGCCUACAUGAAGUCGGAAUCGCUAGUAAUCGCGGAUCAGCACGCCGCGGUGAAUACGUUCCCGGGCCUU